rnacentral:rRNA from 1 species
CGUGUAGGCGGUAUUGUAAGUCAGAUGUAAAAGGCUACGGCUUAACCGUAGAUUGUCAUUUGAGACUGCAGUACUUGAGUGCGAGAGAGGGUAGUGGAAUUCCCAGUGUAGCGGUGAAAUGCGUAGAUAUUGGGAAGAACACCAGUAGCGAAGGCGGCUACCUGGCUCGUAACUGACGCUAAUGCGCGAAAGCGUGGGGAGCGAACA